AUUGAACGCUGGCGGCAGGCCUAACACAUGCAAGUCGAACGAGUGGCGGACGGGUGAGUAAUGUCUGGGAAACUGCCUGAUGGAGGGGGAUAACUACUGGAAACGGUAGCUAAUACCGCAUACCAUCGGAUGUGCCCAGAUGGGAUUAGCUAGUAGGUGGGGUAAAGGCUCACCUAGGCGACGAUCCCUAGCUGGUCUGAGAGGAUGACCAGCAAACCGGGAACUGAGACAGGGUCCAGAUUCCACGGGGAGGAAGAAGGGGGGAAUAUUGCACAAUGGGCGCAAGCCUGAUGCAGCCAUGCCGCGUGUAGGAAGAAGGCAUUCGGGUUGUAAAGUACUUUCAGCGGGGAGGCGUUACCCGCAGAAGAAGCACCGGCUAACUCCGUGCCAGCCGCCGCGUAAUAC
rnacentral:rRNA from 1 species